rnacentral:rRNA from 1 species
CCUACGGGGGGCAGCAGUGAGGAAUAUUGGUCAAUGGACGAGAGUCUGAACCAGCCAAGUAGCGUGAAGGAUGACUGCCCUAUGGGUUGUAAACUUCUUUUAUAUGGGAAUAAAAUGUUCCACGUGUGGGAUUUUGUAUGUACCAUAUGAAUAAGGAUCGGCUAACUCUGUGCCAGCAGCCGCGGUAAUACGGAGGAUCCGAGCGUUAUCCGGAUUUAUUGGGUUUAAAGGGAGCGUAGGUGGAUUGUUAAGUCAGUUGUGAAAGUUUGGGGCUCAACCGUAAAAUUGCAGUUGAAACUGGCAGUCUUGAGUACAGUAGAGGUGGGCGGAAUUCGUGGUGUAGCGGUGAAAUGCUUAGAUAUCACGAAGAACUCCGAUUGCGAAGGCAGUUCACUGGACUGCAACUGACACUGAGGCUCGAAAGUGUGGGUAUCAAACAGGAUUAGAUACCCCUGUAGUC